GACGAACGCUGGCGGCGUGCUUAACACAUGCAAGUCGAGCGGUAAGGCCCUUUCGGGGGUACACGAGCGGCGAACGGGUGAGUAACACGUGGGUGACCUGCCCUCAGCUCUGGGAUAAGCCUGGGAAACCGGGUCUAAUACUGGAUAUGACUCCAUGACGCAUGUUGUGGGGUGGAAAGCCUUGUGCGGCUGAGGAUGGGCCCGCGGCCUAUCAGCUUGUUGGUGGGGUGANGGCCUACCAAGGCGACGACGGGUAGCCGGCCUGAGAGGGCGACCGGCCACACUGGGACUGAGACACGGCCCAGACUCCUACGGGAGGCAGCAGUGGGAAUCUUGCGCAAUGGGCGAAAGCCUGACGC
rnacentral:rRNA from 1 species